AGUGAACGCUGGCGGCGUGCCUAAUACAUGCAAGUCGAACGGAGUGGCGCAAGGGUGAGUAAUAUAUAGCUAAUCUGCCCCUUGCUGGAGGACAACAGUCAGAAAUGAAUGCUAAUAAUCCAUAGCGAUGGAUGAGACUAUAUCGUAUCAGCUGGUUGGUGUGGUAACGGCCUACCGAGGCUAUGACUCGUAACUGGACUGAGAGGAUGAUCAGUCACAUUGGAACUGAGACACGGUGCAAACUCCUACGGGAGGCAGCAGUAGGGAAUAAUACGCAAGGGGGGGAACCCUGACGAAGCAACGCCGCGUGGAGGAUGACACUUGUCGGAGAGUAAACUCCUUUUAUUAGGAAAGCGGUACCGAACGAAUAAGCACCGGCUAACUCCGUGCCAGCAGCCGCGGUAAUAC
rnacentral:rRNA from 1 species